GACGUAGGGCGCAAGCGUUGUCCGGAUUUAUUGGGCGUAAAGAGCUCGUAGGCGGCUUGUUGCGUCGACCGUGAAACCCGUGGCUCAACUGCGGGCUUGCGGUCGAUACGGGCGGGCUAGAGUUCGGAUGAGGGAGACGUAGGACUCGGUGUAGCGGUGAAAUGCGCAGAUAUCAGGAGGAACACCGGUGGCGAAGGCGGGUCUCUGGCCGGACGACUGACGCUGGAGACGCGAAAGCGUGGGGGAGCGAACAGG
rnacentral:rRNA from 1 species